rnacentral:rRNA from 1 species
CCUACGGGAGGCUGCAGUGAGGAAUAUUGGUCAAUGGCCGUAAGGCUGAACCAGCCAAGUCGCGUGAAGGAAGAAGGAUCUAUGGUUUGUAAACUUCUUUUAUAGGGGAAUAAAGGUAUCCACGUGUGGAUAUUUGCAUGUACCCUAUGAAUAAGCAUCGGCUAACUCCGUGCCAGCAGCCGCGGUAAUACGGAGGAUGCGAGCGUUAUCCGGAUUUAUUGGGUUUAAAGGGUGCGUAGGUUGUUUUUUGAGUCAGCGGUGAAAGUUUGUGGCUCAACCAUAAAAUUGCCGUUGAAACUGGCAGACUUGAGUGUGUUUGAGGUAGGCGGAAUGCGUGGUGUAGCGGUGAAAUGCAUAGAUAUCACGCAGAACUCCGAUUGCGCAGGCAGCUUACUAAGCCAUAACUGACACUGACGCACGAAAGCGUGGGGAUCAAACAGGAUUAGAUACCCUGGUAGUC